rnacentral:rRNA from 1 species
UACAGAGGUCUCAAGCGUUGUUCGGAUUCAUUGGGCGUAAAGGGUGCGUAGGCGGCGCGGUAAGUCGGGUGUGAAAUCUCGGAGCUUAACUUCGAAACUGCAUUCGAUACUGGCGUGCUUGAGGACUGGAGAGGAGACUGGAAUUCAUGGUGUAGCAGUGAAAUGCGUAGAGAUCAUGAGGAAGACCAGUGGCGAAGGCGGGGUCUCUGGACAGUUCCUGACACUGAGACACGAAGGCCAGGGGAGCAAACGGG